GAGUUUGAUCCUGGCUCAGGAUAAACGCUGGCGGCGUGCCUAACACAUGCAAGUCGAACGUUCUGUGGGGUUUCGGCCCUGCAGGGAGUGGCGGACGGGUGAGUAACACAUGGGUACCUGCCCCGAAGUGAGGAAUACCGGCGAGAAAUCGCCGACAAGACCGCAUAGGCUUCUCUGUCGCACGAGAGGGAAGCAAAGCUCUUCUUGAGAGAGGGGGGCGCUUUGGGAGGGGCCUGUGGCCGAUUAGCUGGCUGGUGAGGUAAAGGCUCACCAGGGCGAUGAUCGGUAGCUGGUCUGAGAGGACGAGCAGCCACACUGGGAUUGAGAACGGCCCAGACUCCUACGGGGGGCAGCAGUGAGGAAUUUUCCGCAAUGGUCGCAAGACUGACGGAGCAACGCCGCGUGCAGGAGGACGGCCUUCGGGUUGUAAACUGCUUUUCUCUCCGACGAGGACACAAGGACGGUAGGAGAGGAAGAAGCCCCGGCUCACUACGUGCCAGCAGCCGCGGUAAUACGUAGGGGGCGAGCGUUGUCCGGAGUUACUGGGCGUAAAGGNCCCGCAGGCNGUUCGGCGCGUUUCCGGUGCCAGCCCGUUGCUUAACGGCGGGAGUGCCGGGAAGACGGUCGGACUCAGAGGGCNUCAGAGGGACAUAGAAUUCCGGGUGGAGUGGUGAAAUGCGUAGAGAUCCGGAGGAAUACCAAAGGCGAAGGCAGUGUCCUGGGAGGCGCCUGACGCUGAGGUGCGAAAGCCAGGGGAGCGAACGGGAUUAGAUACCCCGGUAGUCCUGGCCGUAAACGAUGACCAUUAGGCGUGUGGGGUAUCGACCCCCUGCGUGCCGACGUUAACACAUGAAAUGGUCCGCCUGGGGAGUACGGUCGCAAGAUUAAAACUCAAAGGAAUUGACGGGGACCCGCACAAGCAGCGGAGCGUGUGGUUUAAUUCGAUGCGACGCGAAGAACCUUACCAGGGUUUGACAUGCCUCUGCCAUCCUCGGAGACGAGGUUUCCUUCGGGACAGAGGCACAGGUGCUGCAUGGCUGUCGUCAGCUCGUGCCGUGAGGUGUUGGGUUAAGUCCCGCAACGAGCGCAACCCCUGUGGUCGGUUGCAGGUUUCCGACCAGACUGCCGCGAUUAACGUGGAGGAAGGUGGGGAUGACGUCAAGUCAGCACGGCCCUUACGUCCUGGGCGACACACACGCUACAAUGGCUGGCACAAUGGGUGGCCAACCCGCGAGGGGGAGCUAAUCCUGGCAAAGCCAGUCUCAGUUCGGAUCGGAGGCUGCAACUCGCCUCCGUGAAGUUGGGGUUGCUAGUAACCGUGGGUCAGCACACCACGGUGAAUACGUUCCCGGGUCUUGUACACACCGCCCGUCACACCACGAAAGUCGGCAACACCUGAAGCCGCCGGGCUAACCCGCUUCGCAAGGAGCGGGAGGCAGGCGUCGAGGGUGGGGUUGGUGAAUUGGGGUGAAGUCGUAAACAAGGUAGCAAUCCCGCGGCCUGGCGGCCGGAGCUGACUG
rnacentral:rRNA from 1 species